rnacentral:rRNA from 1 species
UACGUAGGGGGCUAGCGUUGUCCGGAAUCAUUGGGCGUAAAGCGCGUGUAGGCGGUCCGGUAAGUCCGCUGUGAAAGUCGGGGGCUCAACCCUCGAAUGCCGGUGGAUACUGUCGGGCUAGAGUGCGGAAGAGGCGAGUGGAAUUCCUGGUGUAGCGGUGAAAUGACGCAGAUAUCAGGAGGAACACCAGCGGCGAAGGCGGCGCUCUGGGCCGGUACUGACACUGAGGAGCGAAAGCGUGGGUAGCAAACAGG